rnacentral:rRNA from 1 species
UGCGCAGGCGGCCCCGCAUGUCAGGCGUGAAAUCCCCGGGCUUAACCUGGGAAUGGCGCUUGAAACUAUGGGGCUGGAGUAUGGCAGAGGGAGGUGGAAUUCCACGUGUAGCGGUGAAAUGCGUAGAGAUGUGGAGGAACACCGAUGGCGAAGGCAGCCUCUUGGGCCAAUACUGACGCUCAUGCACGAAAGCUGGGAGCAAACA